rnacentral:lncRNA from 1 species
UCAUCCAUUUUGAUGAUUGCAAUUGACCCAACUCAUCACAGGAUCGACCAUGUGAAAAAUAUACAUAAUAGAUGUACAAGAGUAACAAGACCACAAACAAUUGGUGACUUAUGUAAUGCGUUACUGCAGCCGGUCCUGCUUCUCUUUUUGGAUAAAUUUCUGAGGUUUCAAAUCCUUUUGGAGUGGACUUGGACUAUUCAUCAUGAUCAAAUUUGACUUCAUCAAGUCUUGGCAGCUGUUGAUGAGAGUUUGUUUUCACCAGAAAGGGACGCGUGGCCAUUGAUUGGGCGGCU